CGGACGGGUGAGUAACGCGUGAGAACAUGCCCUUAGGUUCGGGACAACAGUUGGAAACGACUGCUAAUACCGAAUGUGCCGAGAGGUGAAAGAUUAAUUGCCUAGGGAUUGGCUCGCGUCAGAUUAGCUAGUUGGUGGAGUAAUGGUUUACCAAGGCGACGAUCUGUAACUGGUCUGAGAGGAUGACCAGUCACACUGGGACUGAGACACGGCCCAGACUCCUACGGGAGGCAGCAGUGGGGAAUUUUCCGCAAUGGGCGAAAGCCUGACGGAGCAAUACCGCGUGAGGGAGGACGGCUUUUGGGUUGUAAACCUCUUUUAUCAGGGAAGAAGUUCUGACGGUACCUGAUGAAUCAGCAUCGGCUAACUCCGUGCCAGCAGCCGCGGUAAUACGGAGGAUGCAAGCGUUAUCCGGAAUUAUUGGGCGUAAAGCGUCCGUAGGUGGCUAAUCAAGUCUGCUGUCAAAGCGUGGAGCUUAACUCCAUAUCGGCGGUGGAAACUGAUGAGCUAGAGUGCGAUAGGGGUAGCAGGAAUUCCCAGUGUAGCGGUGAAAUGCGUAGAGAUUGGGAAGAACACCAGCGGCGAAAGCGUGCUACUGGGUCUGCACUGACACUGAGGGACGAAAGCUAGGGGAGCGAAAUGGAUUAGAUACCCCAGUAGUC
rnacentral:rRNA from 1 species